rnacentral:rRNA from 1 species
GAUGAACGCUAGCGGGAGGCCUAACACAUGCAAGCCGAGCGGUAUUGUUUCUUCGGAAAUGCGAGAGCGGCGUACGGGUGCGUAACACGUGUGCAACCUGCCUUUAUCUGGGGGAUAGCCUUUCGAAAGGAAGAUUAAUACUCCAUAAUAUAUUGAACGGCAUCGUUUAAUAUUGAAAGCUCCGGCGGCUAGAGAUGGGCACGCGCAAGAUUAGCUAGUUGGUGAGGUAACGGCUCACCAAGGCGAUGAUCUUUAGGGGGCCUGAGAGGGUGAUCCCCCAAACUGGUACUGAGACACGGACCAGACUCCUACGGGAGGCAGCAGUGAGGAAUAUUGGGCAAUGGGUGCAAGCCUGAACCAGCCAUCCCGCGUGAAGGACGACUGCCCUAUGGGUUGUAAACUUCUUUUGUAUAGGGAUAAACCUACCCUCGAGAGGGUAGCUGAAGGUACUAUACGAAUAAGCACCGGCUAACUCCGUG